UACGUAGGGUGCAAGCGUUGUCCGGAAUUAUUGGGCGUAAAGAGUUCGUAGGCGGUCUGUCGCGUCGGCUGUGAAAACUCGGGGCUCAACUCCGAGCUUGCAGUCGAUACGGGCAGGCUAGAGUUCGGCAGGGGAGACUGGAAUUCCUGGUGUAGCGGUGAAAUGCGCAGAUAUCAGGAGGAACACCGGUGGCGAAGGCGGGUCUCUGGGCCGAUACUGACGCUGAGGAGCGAAAGCGUGGGGAGCAAACAGG
rnacentral:rRNA from 1 species